GCUAAAAAUCUAGCCCCCCAUAAUCCCAUGAAUCUUGUAAAUUACACUCACCCCCUAAAACAUUUUUAAAAUUUAGUAAAGGCGAUUAAAAAAUUAUUAGGAGCUAUAUAAAUAGUACCGCAAGGGAAAGAUGAAAUAAAAAUGAAAUAAAUUUUAAGCACAAAAAAGUAGAGAUUUAACCUCGUACCUUUUGCAUCAUGGUUUAACUAGUUAAAUUAAGCAAAAAGACUUGUAGUUUAACUUCCCGAAACUAAGCGAGCUACUUCAAGGCAGCUUACUGAGCAAACCCGUCUCUGUUGCAAAAGAGUGGGAAGACCUUCAAGUAGAGGUGACAGACCUAACGAGCUUAGUGAUAGCUGGUUACUCAAGAAAAAGAUUUUAGUCUAACCUAAAGUUUCACUAAUAAUUUAAAAUUAUAUAUUUACUUUAGAGCAAUUCAAAUAAGGUACAGCCUAUUUGAAACAGGAUACAACCUCUCAAGAUGGGUAAUCAUAUUUUCUAAUAAUUAAGUAGGCUUAAAAGCAGCCACCUUUAAAAUAGCGUCAAAGCUUCGUUAUUUUCAACAUUAAUUCCUAAAAUCACUUAGAACCCUCCAUCACUAUUGAGUACUUCUAUACAAAUAUAGAAUAUUUUAUGUUAAAACUAGUAACAAGAAGUAGAACUUCACUUAAAUGUGAGUGUAAGUCAGAAAGGACACACCACUGACCAUUAACAUACAUGAAAAUAUAUUAACAACUUCACAAGAAAAAAUUAAUUAUUAUUAUGUUAAUCUAACACCAGAACAUUUCAAGUAAGAUUAAAAGAAAAAGAAGGAACUCGGCAAAUAUUAACCUCGCCUGUUUACCAAAAACAUCGCCUCUUGCCCCCAUAUAAGAGGUCCAGCCUGCCCAGUGACUCUGUUCAACGGCCGCGGUAUCCUAACCGUGCGAAGGUAGCGUAAUCACUUGUUCUUUAAAUGAGGACUAGUAUGAAUGGCAUCACGAAGGUUAUACUGUCUCCUUUUUCUAAUCAGUGAAACUAAUCUCCCCGUGAAGAAGCGGGGAUAAUGAUAUAAGACGAGAAGACCCUAUGGAGCUUUAAACUAAAUGGCACUUGCUUUUAUAUGCACCCUUCUUCAGAGAAAUUAACACUUACUUUAGCUUGCUGACUAUUAGUUUUAGGUUGGGGUGACCGCGGAGCACAAAACAACCUCCACGUUGAAUGGGGCUUCCCCCUGAGCUAGGAGCCACGACUCUAAGCACCAAUAAAUUGACAUCAAUUGACCCAGUAUACUGAUCAACGAACCAAGUUACCCUAGGGAUAACAGCGCAAUCCGUUUCAAGAGCCCCUAUCGACAAACGGGUUUACGACCUCGAUGUUGGAUCAGGGUAUCCCAGUGGUGCAGCCGCUACUAAAGGUUCGUUUGUUCAACGAUUAAAACCCU
rnacentral:rRNA from 1 species